rnacentral:rRNA from 1 species
UGGCCCUACGGGGCGCAGCAGUGGGGAAUAUUGCACAAUGGGGGAAACCCUGAUGCAGCAACGCCGCGUGAGUGAAGAAGUAUUUCGGUAUGUAAAGCUCUAUCAGCAGGGAAGAGAAUGACGGUACCUGACUAAGAAGCCCCGGCUAACUACGUGCCAGCAGCCGCGGUAAUACGUAGGGGGCGAGCGUUAUCCGGAUUUACUGGGUGUAAAGGGAGCGUAGACGGUUCUGCAAGUCUGAAGUGAAAGCCCGUGG